UGCGAUGUAGUUUAUUCAAAAUAUUUGUUUUACACACAAAUGAACUCUUAUUUGAGCUUUGCUA
rnacentral:tRNA from 1 species